rnacentral:rRNA from 1 species
CGGCCGCCCUNUUUAUCAAAAACAUGUCUCUUUGAUUUAAUUUUAUAAAGAGUCUGACCUGCCCGGUGAUAAUUAAUAAUUUAACGGCCGCAGUACUUUGACUGUGCGAAGGUAGCAUAAUUAUUUGCCUUAUAAUUAAAGGCUUGUAUGAAUGGUUUGACGAGAAUAAAUCUGUCUUAAUUUAAUUUUUUAGAAUUUAACUUGGAAGUGAAGAGGCUUUUAUAUUAUUGAUAGACAAGAAGACCCUGUCGAGCUUUAUUUAUUAUUUGUAAAUUAAUAUUUUUAUAUUACUUUUAGAUUUUAGUUGGGGUGACUGAGGAACAUAUAUAAGUUUCCUUAAUAAUUUAUAAAUUAACUAAUUUUGAUCCAUGAUUUAAUGAUUAUUGGAAUUAGUUACCGCAGGGAUAACAGCAUAAUCUUUUUUGAGAGUUCAUAUCGAAAAAUGGGUUUGUGACCUCGAUGUUGGAUUAAGGUGUCCUAAAGGUGCAGAAGCUUUUAAGGGUUAGUCUGUUCGACUAUUAAAACUUUACAUGAUCUGAGUUCAAAC